UCCCUGGAAGACUAGUGGUUAGGCCACAGUGCUGUUACCACUGCUGCCCAGUUGGAUUCCUGGCCAGGGAA